AUACGUAGGUGACAAGCGUUAUCCGGAUUUACUGGGCGUAAAGGGCGUGUAGGCGGUCUUGCAAGUCAGAAGUGAAAUUCCUGAGCUCAACUCGGGCGCUGCUUCUGAAACUGAAGGACUUGAGUGCUGGAGGGGAUAGCGGAAUUCCUAGUGGAGCGGUAAAAUGCGCAGAUAUUAGGAAGAACACCGGUGGCGAAGGCGGCUAUCUGGACAGUAACUGACGCUGAGGCGCGAAAGCGUGGGGAGCAAACAGGAUUAGAUACCCUGUUAGUCCACGCCGUAAACGAUGAAUACUAGGUGUAGGGGGUAUCGACUCCCUCUGUGCCGCAGUUAACACAAUAAGUAUUCCGCCUGGGGAGUACGGCCGCAAGGUUGAAACUCAAAUGAAUUGACGGGG
rnacentral:rRNA from 1 species